rnacentral:lncRNA from 1 species
GGUUAGACAGCCCAGUCUCCCAAUUGAGACCUGACCUGGGGCUCAUUUUGGGGCUUGAACCCCGACGUUUAGUAGCCUAGGGGCGUGGCCAUGCUGGAUCUGGGGCUGACCUCCGAGCAGCGCUUAGACCCUCGGGAGCCUUAGGAGAGCGGGAAAGUUGCUAAUAGGUACUUGUCCUCAGCUCCACACCCCCGGAGGGCCUCAACUCACCUCGGCGCAGUGCCGUUGUCCCCUGUGCGUCCUCCGUGUGUGCCACCGGUCGCUGGGCACGUGGAGCCACCUGGCUGUAGAUCGGGGUGUCCGUGCUGGUGGGCGCCCGCGGCCCCGGCCCUGUGCCCGCCGAAGCGCCACGCUUCUGCACCACAGCGAACAGGAAGACGGGGCAAGCACAUACCUCUGUCUGCACUGCUGCAGGCCGCUGUUUCCGCAUCUCCAGGACCACUUGGAAGAGACUGAAGUUGGGAGGGAUUGUCUGGGAUAGAGAGGGGAAGUGUGACCAGACCCUGGUAGGCAGACAUGGGACAUACUGCACACAGAGCAGAGGACGUCAUACCUGGGUCAGCAGCAACUGCCUCACAUAGUCAACAGCGCACAGGACACCUGUUCGUCCGCAGCCAGCACUGACAAUCGUGAAUCAGAGCAGACACCAUCAUAGCCUACCCACAAUGCCCCUUUCCCCAUUCUGUUCCUCCUCCUUUUCCCACAGGUCUUGUGCUAGGUUGCCCAGGCUAGCCUCUGACUUCAGCUUCCUAAGUGCUGGGAUGUCAGGACUGCCUAACUGUACAGACACCACAACCCCUUCUGAGCUGACCUGAAGGAGAUCAGUACCUCUUAAAUUGCAGGAUCCCUAGAUUAAAACUUUAAAUAAAA